UCUGCUUGCUACCCAGGUGCCCCUAGCCCUCACCUCUGCAGAAAAUGAAAAAAAAAAAAAAAUCCAAUAGUGAAUUGCUAUCAGAUGUUAGUAAUUCCCAGGACCUUUCUCCAAGGAAUGCUUGUAUUUUUUCAAAAGAGCCUCACAGUAGAACAGGAAGUGGGGCAAGAGUUUCAUACUGAGUACCGCCUCUCUAAUGAGAGUAUUUCCUGUUUCGCCCAAAGGCCAGCUGGGGCCUUGGGAGCCUCAGGCUCCCUUGGGUCAGGCCUGCUGGACCAGCCCCAACCCAGGGAAGUUGAAGGAGUUUUGAGUUUGUCCUUUUUUAAAAUACGGUAUUCCAGCUGCUGCCAGAGUCCAUGUAGAUUCUUGCAAAUGUGUUUUUGUAAGAGAUCCAGGGCACCCACUCACCUCCUGUGUCUGGCAUUGAUACAGCUGUGGAAAUACAAAUAUUUCCCUUUCAAAGGCACUCACCCCUGGACUAAGAUUGUCAGAUUUUUUUUUUUUUUUUUAACAAUGGCCCCUUAUAACGUUCACUUUUUAGGGAAACUUUGUAAAUGAAUGGUCUUCCGUGUUUUCUCCAUUAGCUUAAAGCUGGUUUGUUCUGCAGACCCUUUGGUUUCUAAGGAUUUGUCAAGGGACAAAAUCCUUUUGACUUCCCAGUGGCUUCCUCCCCAGCGCAGCCUUCCCUCCCCACUGAUCACUCUUGAGUGUGUGGGUUUUUGCAUGUGUUGCUAAUACCACCCAGGUCCUUCCCCCUCCAUCCCACCUCCUUUGCUUCCAGCAUGUCUUGUGACCAGGCUUCCAUGAUGACUCUGUCCCCGGGUGUGACUUAGGUGCUUCUCUGAACUUCCAUGGCACCUCCCAUGCCUUUUUGCUCCUGUGGAUGUCAUACUGUAUGACAGUCCCUCUCCAGCCCCACCCUCCCUGCAACCACUAACUGGCUCUUCAAAGAUAAACACUAUAGCUGUUGUCAUCGGUACCAUUUUCCUGUAAGAGACGGGGGCUCCACAGAUACUUGCAGAAUGGAGAAAGAGGUCAAUAGAAGUGGUCCCUGGAAUGACACAACGUUCUUUAGAGUGGACAGUGAGCCCUGGUUUCCUUAACAACGUUUAGUCUCCCUAGGUUCCUGUGAUAUACAACUGAAGUUGUAGAGGCACCUGACCCUGAUGGAAAAGAUAGUUGUCAGGACAUCCUGGCCACUGGCACUCACCACCCAAUCAAGAGCAAGUAGGUCAAUGUUGCUAGUAUGAAAUCAAACUAUUGACAAUAGCUGGAUACACUCUGAGGUUCAGACCAGAAGGAAAAUGGAGACUACAUCAUUUGAGAGGCCAAGAAAGGUACUGGUGAUUGCUCCAUGUUUGGAGGAAGAACAUGAAUAUCUGAGUAGCAAUUGGAUUGAAGCAUAGUUAGGACUCUCACAAGAUCAUGUAGCCAGUGAUGAAUUUUCUGGACUGUUUAAGGAUGGUUAAAGGUAAAAUUUUUUUUAUUAUGUAUUUUCCUCAAUUACAUUUCCAAUGCUAGCCCAAAAGUCCCCCAUGCCCUCCCCCACACUCUCCUACCCACCCAUUCCCACUUUUUGGCCCUGGCAUUCCCCUGUACUGGGGCAUAUAAAGUUUGCGUGUCCAAUGGGCCUCUCUUUCCAGUGAUGGCCGACUAGGCCAUCUUUUGAUACAUAUGCAGCUAGAGUCAAGAGCUCCGGGGUACUGGUUAGUUCAUAAUGUUGUUGCACCUGCAGGGUUGCAGAUCUCUUUAGCUCCUUGAAUACUUUCUCUAGCUCCUCCAUUGGGGGCCCUGUGAUCCAUCCAAUAGCUGACUGUGAGCAUCCACUAAUGUGUUUGCUAGGCCCUGGCCUAGUCUCACAAGAGACAGCUAUAUCAGGGUCCUUUCAGCAAACACUUGCUAGUGUAUGCAAUGGUGUCAUCGUUUGGAGGCUAAUUAUGGGAUGGAUCCCUGGAUAUGGCAGUCUCUAGAUGGUUCAAGGUAAAUUUUAACUGUAUAACUCUACCUUAUGGAUCUGAGAGCUCAGUGCCUCUCAUCACCCCUCUAAAACACAAUGACCCUAUACCAUGUGUUGGUACAUGCUAUCUAAAAGAACAUUUAGAAGCAAAGGGAAAUCCUGAUCAGCCCAUUGGAUUCUGAUCAUUUUGUCUCUUGACAUUGGGCCAGAAUGAUUGCCUGUGUGUAAAAACAAUGGGAAAGGUCACCUUUACUAGUUUUGGGGGAUAGAUGUUGGGCUUUAUCUAUGUUGUAUAAGUGUAUGAUUAACUAUAGUCCACUUCAUCACAAAAGUGUGUUCUGGGAUCUGGACAGAUGGCUCAACAGUUAAGAGCACUGGCUGUUCUUCCGAAGGAACCUGGAUGUGAUUCCCAGCACCUCGAGGUGGCUCACAACUAGCUGUAACUCUAGUUCCAGGGGAUCUAACAGUGUCUUCUGGGCCUCUUCAGGGCACUGCAUACACAUGGCGCAUAGUCACCCAUGAAGGCAAAACACCCAUUCACAUAAAAUAAAAUAAUAACUUUUGAAAAUAUGCCCUGCAGAUUUUGGUAAAGAGUGGAUAGUCUACGUGAUUUCACAAGACUGAGAGCUACCCAGGAGCUGUGCUUAUAUGGGCAGUCAGUUGGAGAAGAGGCUGAAGACCCUCCCACAUGGCUUUCUCGCACCCUUAGAUGUGUGAAGUGGCACCCGCUUCCUUUGGUCACACCUGUUCCUCCAGUGGGCUUCCUCUUUUCUAUUAAUGUCUGGACCUCUUUCCCCUAGUCAGCCAGCCUCAAAGCCUCCAUGUGGUAUCCACUCUCAAUGUUUCUUACCAGUCUGUAUCCUUCUUCCAAAUUGCAUGACAGGUUAACCUUGCAAACAGAGACACCAUGGGUAUAGAUAAAAGACUUGGGCUAAAGUCUGAAGACUCCUAUUGUAGUAUCAGCCGGAGCUGGUGGCUGUGGGCCAGCCACUUAAUGCCUCUGAGGAUCUGUAAACUCAUGAGAAGUGAGUGUUGAAAGCAACACUCAAGACUUCUUAUUUAAGGAUUGUUGUGAGAGGGGAUCAGUGUCGAAGUACUCCACAGCGUGGAGCGCGCCAUCUUGCUCAGAGACAUGUCCUAUGAUGUUGCUUGUGUGACACGGAACCUGGAAUACAUUACAGUAGGUGAUAUGUGUCAAUUGCUGAAAUAGGGCGUGAUUUAACAUCUCUGUACAUAAAUUCAGUUGCUGAGUCAGAAUUUGGGACUAUGAUCAAGAGAAAUGUUUUUUUCUUGUUCUGGGCCAGAUAACAAAAUACUUGAGACAAAUGGUGUUCCGUUUUAAAAGAAUUUUCUCUUCUUCAUAUUUAAUUAAAAUGUUAUUUGGGCAUACUUACAGUGUGGUGAUUUCACGUUCAUAUACUUAUAAAAUGUCUAAAGAUAAAAUCAAGGUAACUGUUAUUUCCAACCCCUGAAACAGUUAUCAUUUCUAUAUGAUGGGAAACUUUGGACUCUUCUCUUCUGGUUCCUUAUACAAUAAAUAAUUCAUUUUUGUAAAUGAUGUUCAUUCAUCCAUCCUGUAGUAUUCUUCCCGUGCAAAUCUCUUUUGUACCCAUUACCCGCUCCCUCCCCUUGUGCCUCUAGUGGCCAAUAUUCAUCGUUUCUGCUUCCACGGGACCAGCUUUCUUAAUUUGCUGCCUUCUUAUGCUAACAGAUUUUUUUCAUGCAUUAAAAAAGUGUCAAAAUUAAUUACAUGUUAUGCAAAGAUGGAUGUAGAACCUGCUCCACAAAGCACAAUGUAUUGUAAAUGAAGGCAGUCUCUGAAGGUCGGCUCACUACUGGGAGUCCAGCUUAAUAGAAUGUGGUCGCCUGAAGGAAAUUCAUGGCUUGAGUGAAGAGGUGUCUGGAAUUCCCAUCUGGGAUUUAUUAGUGUGUGCGUGUUGGUGGCAUAGCCGGAUGUUAGUUCUUAACUUAAGGAAACAAAGUUUUCAACGUGACGAUGGCGACUUUUUGCUCUGUCAAGUGGUAGCAGCUGCCGAUACCUUCCUGGUUCUGGAAACUCCAUCAGCUGAAGUGGAGUGUUGCUCAAUCUGUCGUACUAAAGGGUCUGGAUGCCAAUGGUAGUGGGCUGUGUAGUUGAUGAGGGAGCUAGUUAGGUGCCUCCUUAUGGGGAAGCACAGCCCGUUUGUUGACUCGAACAUCUUCUGGGAAGGUUGCAUGUACCCCCACACUCUGUUUAUGGGGAUGAUAAAGCAAGUACGUCCACUCGGCACACGCUGUAAAACAGAAGGCUUGCAGCUGGCAGAGUUGCGUUCCUCUUGGCUCCUUUUCUGAAGGAAUUUUUGGAAACUUGUUAGAUUUAUGAAUAGUUGCAGAUUACCAGCCUUGGUCUCCAGUGCAAGCGAAUGCUCCUUUAAACUUUGUUUUUUUCUUUGAAGAUAGCAGAUUUGGUUUUUUUUUUGAUGGUUCCAUAAUAUACUUUAUGGGUGGAGGAAAUACAGUUUAUUCUUACAUGUUGUCAUAGCUCAUGUAUAAUUAAAUGUUGAAAUGAUUAUUUUAUUGGUUAUAUAGCCUCUUCAAAGGACCCAACAUGUAUUAUAGGUCUAGAAAGGGAAAUAGGCAAACAGACAUGAGGGAUAAACUUGUAUUUGCAAUAACGUAACUUAGUUAUCUGUCUCAGAGGACAUCUGAUGUCAAGCUUACCAAUAGUAGAAGUUGCUUGGAGAAAUUCACCACUGGCCUCCGUAGGCUUCGUUGAAAAGGAGAGGCCUGAGUCUGGCUUUGAGAGAGGCCAAAAGAGGAUGUAGCUGCAGG
rnacentral:lncRNA from 1 species